rnacentral:sRNA from 1 species
UGGUGAUGAUGAAGAGACAACACCAACAACAACAAAU